rnacentral:rRNA from 1 species
AGCAGCCGCGGUAAUUCCAGCUCCAAUAGCGUAUAUUAAAGUUGUUGCAGUUAAAAAGCUCGUAGUUGAAUUUCGGGGUUAGUAGGCUGGUCAUGCCUCUGGUAUGUACUGGUCUCACUGAUUCCUCCUUCCUGAUGAACCGUAAUGCCAUUAAUUUGGUGUUGUGGGGAAUUUGGACUGUUACUUUGAAAAAAUUAGAGUGUUUAAAGCAAGCUAACGCUUGAAUACAUUAGCAUGGAAUAAUGAAAUAGGACGUUCGAUCCUAUUUUGUUGGUUUCUAGGAUUGACGUAAUGAUUAAUAGGGAUAGUUGGGGGCAUUAGUAUUCAAUUGUCAGAGGUGAAAUUCUUGGAUUUAUUGAAGACUAACUACUGCGAAAGCAUUUGCCAAGGAUGUUUUCAUUAAUCAAGAACGAAAGUUAGGGGAUCGAAGACGAUCAGAUACCGUCGUAGUCUUAACCAUAAACUAUGCCGACUAGGGAUCGGAUGAUGUUAAUUUUUUAAUGACUC